rnacentral:lncRNA from 1 species
UUUACACAGUAAGAAUUUUGUCCCCAUCGAGAAAAAGUCCUCUUUUUUAGGAAUUUAUGGUUGGCCUCCGCUAACGAACCGAUCAAAAGCGUUCAAAAAUCCCGAUUUCGGUUUCGGUUUCCUGUGCGUAGCGCCACCUGCUUCCUGCGGCAAGUGCAUGGCGGCUUCCUGUUUACAUUUUUGAACUCCGCAUGCUUUCAACUUCCAAGCUUGACGCUGUUGUUCAUGACAUUGUGAAAAAUAUAUGGAUAUAUAUGGGUGGUGAUGAUAUUUAGCAUCAUCCGGAAAGUCAAGCAUCUAUAUUUGGUCUACGACAAUUUGCCUACUGGUCAUCAAAGAUGCUGGAAUUUUUUCAAAACGCCAACUACACGUGCAAGCUUACUUUGAAGAUGUUCUGUGUGACUAUCCCAUAGCAUGAAUUCAUUAAAGUAGACUCCAAGCAUUCUGUGUUAGUAAUUUCUAUGGCAUUCCCUCCUAAGCUUGCAGAUAUUGAACAGCUGAUGGUGCGACAAGAAUCCCAGUAUCUUCCUUGCUGUACAUUUUGAAACAAUUCUUGAACAUACAAUUUCCGUCGUGAAGUGGUACAUCC